rnacentral:rRNA from 1 species
AAGAAAUCAGGCCAAGCAGCUGGGAGGGGACAAUGGCCACCAUCAGGCUCCUCCUCAAAUGCUUCACAUACUGCAGCAUGGCAAGCUUGCAAUGGCAGUGGAGGAUCUUCACUUCCUUUGAGGAACUAUGGAACGCAACCUUCUGAUCGUAGGCCUGCUGCCGUAGACAAUCGCGGGCCAUCAUCACAAACAUAUCCGAGAGAAAAUCCAGUUGUGUGGCCAGCUCUGGCAAAUGGUUCGCAGUUGUCAUCCAGGUCUCAUCCAUAUGGCCCUGAAAGCAAUAAGGACAAUGUUCCUUCAUCUAGUUUUGACCCCGAGGACAGCUCUGAAGUUGAGGAUUUGUCAGAUGAUGACAUUGAUGAUGAUAUGAGCGAGGAGGAUGAUUCUGAUGAAAGUGAAAAAAGUUUUGAGACUCAAAAAAAGAAUAAAUGGUUCAAGAAAUUCUUUGAAGUCAUCGAUACUUUAAAUGAGGAGCAAAUACAUGAUCAGACUAGGCCAUGGCAUUGUCCGGCAUGCCAAAAUGGACCUGGGGCAAUUGACUGGUUCAAUGGGCUACAAUCUUUAGUGAGACAUGCUAGAACGAAGGGCUCUAGAAGAGUUAAGCUCCACAGAGAAUUUGCCACAUUGCUAGAACAUGAGUUAGGAACUACACUGCUACCACCUGGUGAGCAAUUUGGGAAAUGGAAAGGAUUACGAGGAAGCACUGAUCGCGAGAUUGUAUGGCCACCAAUGGUUAUUGUCAUGAACACUUUACUGGAACAAGAUAAUGAUGACAAGUGGUUAGGCAUGGGCAAUGAAGAGCUUCUCGAUUAUUUCCAUGAAUAUGAUGCAAUCAAAGCACGACAUGCCUACGGUCCAGGUGGGCACCGUGGCAUGAGUGUGUUAAUAUUUGAAAGCUCUGCCGUGGGUUAUAUGGAUGCUGAACGUCUGCAUAAGCACUUCGUCGGUGAAAGAACAGACAGGGAAGCAUGGCAAGCUCCGUCUAAGCGUCGGUUCUUACCUGGUGGGAAAAGACUGUUAUAUGGUUUCUUAGCCAACAAAGAGGAUAUGGAGAUUUUCAAUAAGCACCACCCGGGAAAAAGUUGCCUGAAAUACGAUAUGAGAUCUUAUAAUGAAAUGGUAGUGGUAGGUAUGAAACAAAUGAGUCUAGACAAUCAGUGA